rnacentral:tRNA from 3 species
GGAGGAGUGCAGGAGUGGUUGAACUGGCACGCCUGGAAAGUGUGUAUAGGUGAAAGCCUAUCAAGGGUUCGAAUCCCUUCUCCUCCG